rnacentral:lncRNA from 1 species
GGGCGCGGCGCGGAAAGGCUGCGGCUCCGACCUGGGCGCAGGCUGGGAGUGCCCGCCUCGAGGUCUCCUUACUUACCCACCACGGUACCCUGGCCAGGGCCGUCUGAGGUGGCUCCUGUUAUCGUGGCUGCUUUUGAGGAUCAUGGUUAAGACCACCGGACCGACGGUCAAGCCGGUUGUAAAUACCCUUCUUUCCAUGUUCUUCAGGGACACCAGCCCCAGCGACGACCUUGGACGAUUUCAACGCGCAGGCACCUCGAUCCCCCGAAUUCUUGGUGUGGCCGGUAUCACUGUUCCCCUGGUUUAACUAGCCUGUUUGGUAAGUAACUGAAUAUUUUUUACAGCGUGUUCAGAGCUUAUUUUCCAGUUUUUAUGAACAAACAUAUAAAUAUAUCUCUGCAUUCCUGACUCUCCCAUAAAAGCGGGCAUCUGUGGAAAGCAGGUUUAGUUAUCGGAGGGGAACCAUUAAACAGCAGUUUAAGAGGCAGAGCGGGAGGACGGCUCGUGGAUGUUUAGACUGCUGGCCUUAGUGAUCUUGAACGCAUUAUAACGGAAAAUGGAUCUCCAUUUGUAAGUCAGCGGGCCGCGCGGGGCACCAGGGCCGCGGCGCCCGCGUGGCGUGAGCAUCUUGAGGAAGCUGGAGAGAGGCUGGGGCGGGGAUGGACAGGGGCAGGAGCUGAAACAUCCUCAGGACUUGGUUGGGAGUCGCAAAGGGAGCCGGCUAUGCAGCUCAGGAUUCGGCCCGAAGGAGUUUGGUGUGGAAAAGGGUGUCAACCAGGACCCCACGCGGCCGUAAAUUAGAGGAAGCCCAAGGCAGGGUGCACAGAAGCGUGGGCCGGCCAGGGCGGCCUGGGACUCGCCACUGGGCCUGGCUGGGGUCACCCAGGGGAGACCUUUAACUCCACCUUGGAUAUUGUACUUUGGAAGCAGGCAGAGUCAGGCCCCAGGCCGCCAAGGGAGCCCCACCCCACAAAGGGAGCCCCACCCCAAGGACUCGGAAGGGACAGUCCAUUCCUUUCCCGCUGGGCGCUUUCGGCGGAGUCCGCGGUUGGGGAUGGAAAGCGAGGUCAGUGCUAAUGGCGGGGGGGGGGGGGGGGGGGGCGGGAGGGGUGGUGGGGGCGCCCACCUCCUGAGCUGCGGGGGAUGCAGGGCCGGCUCCCUCGGCCUUUGCAGCCCUGGGCAGCAGCGUGGAGAAAUACUGUUCAGAUAUUUCCGUGGCUGGGCGUUAGGACAGGGGAAGAUCCUCGGAGAGGGGCUAGGAAACCCAGUGUGGGAGUGAAGUGUCCGUUCGGGCCCUUUCCCUCCCCUCUGCAAGGGGUCAAUUUCCCUGGAUGCCCCCAGCAUAGCAUUUUAAGGCAGAGAGCAGGGGGUGGGGAGAAGCUGAAAUCAGAUUUGUUGGUAAAGUGCCACUUGGCGCAUGGAUCAAAAUAGCGAGCUAGAAGCCCUCGACCCCCCAACUUGGAUGGGUCUGAGAUUUUAGCACAAGCAGGGUGUUUUAAAGACCUUGUUCUUCAAGGAAAGAAUAUAGGUAGUGUGAUGGGGUUCUGUUUACAUUUUCACCAGGGAGGCAAACCCUGAAUGUGUAAAUACUGGUAGUUCAAUCCUCUGACAUGUGAUACUUUUUUUUUUUUUUAAGUCUGUUUAUAAGAACACAUCCAGGCCCUGGAAGCAGGUAGAAAAAGCAUGAUGGUGGCACCCAGGCUAGCAACAGAUAACUGCUCAGGGAAAGAAGUUGGUAGACUGCUUUCAGACCCAGAGGGAGUUUUGGGAACUGAAAGGAAGAAUGGCUGAGUUGGGGACUGGGAUGCCCUGUCCAUCAGAGGUGAGUGGCCUCAGUGUCGAAGCCAUCAGAAUUGGCCACUUUCAGCCUUCUCAUGCUCUUUUAAUUGAAACCAAAAAUGGGCAAAUCUCCUCAUGGCCCCAGAUAUCACGGCAAGUGAUAAAAGAGACGGAGAACACGGGACAGAAAAGAAAAAAAAAAAGUCGUAAAAGAUGCUAAUCUGAGCAUCAGUCCUCACUGACAGUGUCAUUAUCAGUUAAUUAAUGCUGUGCAACAGUCUGGGGCUUCAUGUAGCUCAGAGAGCCAGACCCAGAGACUACAUACAGUCUCAGAAAGGCAAUUUGUAGGCAGGGGACAAAUGGGUGAACUCCAGCGUCCUUAACUGUAGUUAUUAACUCGCAGAGACCAGACUGGCUGAGGGCCAUUCCCAAUUCACAACCAAACGAGUCCUCUUUUUUCUCAUAGAGUCCUCUUUUGUACCUUUUGCUGCGGGUCUAGUGGGGGUGCUGGGUUAGUCUGCUGCUUUGGAAAGCUGUGAGGCAGAUCCACCUCAAGUUCAAGUUUGCCCCCUCCCCCCCCCCAGUUUAGACGAUUAGACAGUCUUUGCUUUCUGGUGGUAGUGAGGGAGGGGGGAGAGUGAUGGAGGAGAACAGUGGGAAAAGAAAGGGAGGAGGGUGAAUUUCCCAGCUGAGAUGUCAGCCAGGGACUGCACUACUGUGCACGCUGCUGAGCUGUCCCCCUAAGGGCACAAGUUCCAGUACUCAAAGGGCGCAAGCAUCUGAGAUGCUGCAGGCUGUUGGCCACCCUGGGUGCCCGCAGGAGGAUUCCUAGUGAGGGUGUACUAACUUGCCUCUCCUUUUCUGAGGCCAUGGGCUGAGCUGCAACCAGUCUUACCCAGGUGGGCAGCCCCCCGUUUGGAGACAUGCUGUGAUUCCUUGUCCAGUCUCCACUGUAGCUGAUGGUCUACCCCUGUACCGCGCGAUACGUCCGCCUCCAGCUAAACAGACAGAACCGGGUUCAACAAUUUGUUUUGCGCCCCUGUCUCUUGGCUCUUUCCCUUCACUCCCACCCCUUCCUCUGGAAAAGACUCAAAGAGCCUGGGAGAAGCUGAGAACUAACUCCCUUGCAAACGUUUUGGUCUUGUGAGAUAUUCCUUUUAAAAUCAAUCUGCUUUAAACUAAAUAUUUUUUUUAAAAACUUCAGUCUGUUUUUAGGGAAAAUACAGAUCUCUCGGAGGUAUUUAUUAUUACAAAGGCAAGGGCAGUUUGUAUCUUAUGUUUUGCUCAUGAGAACUCAAAAUAAACUGGACCUGAAAAGAACCAGGCCAGAGGGCCAUAAACACACAUUUUAUGUUUACGGGAAUUAUGGCUCAAUUCCCUUCAUCGUUUUUCAAAUCUCGUUUUACCUUAUUUUCCUGACCAACAUAGUUGGAGCAAUGGGGCAUUCCUUUAAAUAUCUAUAACGCUCUUAUAUAAGGUGAACCCCAGAAAGUGCCGAGAACUCCAGAAAGAACACCAGACCCAGAAGAUGGCAGAAAAAGAAAUGUGUUCUCGGGGAAGUAACCUCAGCCUCACCUGUUCCAAGGAAGUUGUUUCUUAGGACACCCUGAUGGCUUUGCAUUUUGUCUGAAUAAGGGUGGGAUUGAGUCAUUUUAUAGGCUAGCCACUUGGUCUUAGAACCUUCAGGACAUGAAGAAUAAGGCAUACUGUCUGAGUGGCGGCAAAGGAUCUCCCAACUCGGGUUCCAUAGUCCCUCCCUUUCUGGUUUGCCUUUUGGGAAAUGGUUGUCUACAGACAUGGCAAGUGACAGUGACUCCAGAAAUGUGGGGGUGCUCAGAGGAUACUUCUACAAUGCAGGAUCACGUUCGAUUGGACUCUUAUAUCUGUUUCACAAGAAGUUGCCCAUGGCUCUUAUGAGAUUUUAUUUGUUCUGAGCACUUUCUUUUUGCAUUUUGGGGUGGGGUGGGGUAUUUGGGGAGUGAUUCCUCUCCCCUCUUCUUUCCAGAGCAGAUCUGUGGAGAUGGGGGGGGGAGGGGCUGAUUCAGCUGCAAUGGAGGAGGGGCUGAUUGCUUACGACUCCCUUCAGUCCAGUGUUUUUGUUUUUGUUUUUGUUUUCAGUCCAGUUUUGAUUAGGAAACAUUUAAGUCAGUGGAGAAAAUGGGACUUGUUUGAUGCCUCCCCUCCAUUUAGCCUUUCUUUCAUAUUCCCUUCUUCCCUGCCAGCCCUUUCCUCUUUCUCUCUCUCCCUCCUUCCCUCCUCCUCUCUACCCCCCCCCCCCACCCCUUCAAAUUUGCCUUUGAGCAGUGCUUGGAUUUCUGAGGUUUCUGAUCCCUUCAGGUCAUUGAACCUGAAACUGGUGAAGAAUAAGAUACUGGCUUCUCCUUUAGUCCUUUAAGAAAAAUAAGUAUUUUUGUAAAACACUGAGAUGUAAUUGACAAAUAACGCUGUGUAAGUCUAAGACGUACAAUGUGCAAGAAAAAUGUCACUGUCCAGUCUUACAGGUAGUGGGAAUUUGCAUUUUCUUCAAACGGUCCCUGACGAGAUCUUCAUAUUAACUGGCAGAUGGGCUGCUGCUGUGGGAGGUUUUCACUGAUACCUGGCCAGUUAUUCAAGUUAAAAUACUUAUUCCGACAAAAGGGAACAAAAGAGAAUGCACCUGAAAGGGCCUCCCUAGAGGCAGCAAGAUGUGUAUAUAGGAGGUGCUAUUGAUGUUGUUAUAAGAGGUAAGGUAGAUCUGAUCAUUGCUGCUUUCUAGUAAAGCAUAGAUAGUUUAGAGCACCAGUGGUGUGAGAAAAUACAUGCCACAGGAUUUCUCCUAACUGCUUUGUUUCAAGCAAAUUACAUACACACUGGCAAUAUUUUCUUCCAAGCUAGAAGGAAAGCACUCCACAUUCAGAUGACGAGGAAGCAAUUGUAUUGCAUCCACGGUCUAUGGGAAAAUAAGCAGUCGUUAACUUCAACUAGUCUGCAGGAGGGUUCAGAAUGAAAUACAAAAGCGAAUGGCAACUUAAAAUGUGGAGCUUUGGACAAGCCAUUUAAGUGAGCGAAGGUUUUGUCUGUGACUGGAGGCCCCAUGCAUUCCCAGUUGUAACUGCGGUGUAGCGAGAAUUCUUAGGAAGUCCUGUUCGGAAGCUUCCUUUGCAAAUUCAUGUCGUUUUUUUUUUUUUUUUGUUGUUGUUGUUGUUUGUUUGUUUUGUUUUGUUUUUAGCCCUGGCAGUUUCUUGCAACCCUUUUCUACUUUAUUCUAGGGCCUUUGCUUCUAGACAAGGGACUUGAGCCAGGAUGGUUAGGUUUCAGGUUAACAAAAAGAAACCCUUUUAUUGUCAAUAUUAAUGGCAAACCUCGAUUUUUACAAGGUUUAGGUUUAGCGGCACGAGCAGAUCAAAAGCAGCUUGGCUUGAUUUCUCAAUAUUCUCCGGAGCUUAGACAAUUAGCUGCAAUUUUGCGUCGAACGAAACAACACAAAAAUGUUAGUUACCAAAAUGUUAAAGUUAGUCUUUCGGCAAGGAUUUUACCUGUGCACAACGUGUCAGAAGCUAAUAAAUUCGUCCACUGAACCUGAGUUGAGUUUUGAAGGAAACGCCUUUAACAAAAUGUGUGAGCACACUGUCUUCAUUUGCAAUGCCACGGAGACCUGUUUCAGCUGUGUGCAUUCCACACUUGCCUUUCUGGCUGGGUAAGGAUCCGGCAGACUGAGGUCUCUCUGGUAAUUUGGGUACACCGAGUCUCCAGUUAAUGAUAGAUAAUCAGCCUUUGGGUCAUUCGGUCAUUCUCUUAUUACAAACCCCUCCUGCUCUCUCUGAUCUCCUUUCAAACUAAAUUUCACACAAACAAAUAAAGCAAGACAGGGACAAGUUCCUUAAAAAAAAAAAAAAGGAGGGAGAAAUAUUAGAAACUCCUGAUACAGAACUCUAAACAAGGAAAGGCAAGCUAAAAGAGGAUAGGAAAGAACAUCUUAUCAAAAUGAACAUGCUGUGUACAAAACAUUAGAAGAGAAGGCUCUGGUUUCUGUUAAAGUGACAGAAAAUUAAAAUAAAAAUAAUUGCAGGCAGAGAAGUUAUAAUAUAAACAGAGAAGGCAGGAUGCUUGCUGGAAAUGCGCAGCACGAGGAGGCUAAUUUGUUGUUACAGAUUAUAUAUCUGCACCCGUGAUAGGAGAGGCGCUACUUUGUUCUAUUUUCCAGAAAAGAAUGGCUUUCUUCUUAGUACUUGUGUGAGUGCUCACUUAACACAGGCCAAAACCUCGAGGAACAAAAAAUGGAAUUGCAUUCUGCUUGCGAAGCAUCCAACUUCAAAAGAAGGAAUUGGUUGCAUACAAAAAAAAAAAAAAAGCAUUCCAUUCAAAACACAUUUAGAGGGUUCACUAAAUUGGUAUGACUGAUGCUUUUUUGUUUUGCUGACAGAAGGUGCAGAUCAUUCUCGGGGAAGUCCAACCGAAACCAGCCCUCCCCUGCCCUCUGGAGUCUUCGUUUUCCAGCCUACAUCUGCUUGUGACUCCAGAAAGAGACUCCAGAUUGGCCAAGGUACAUCUCUGACCAGAUCCCUCUAGGAAAAGCUCAGGAAUGCGUGACUCUAAUUGUUCAGAACUCUGGUGAGAGUGUCCCUAGUGCCAUUUUGCUGCCCCUGUCUUUGACAAUCCCUUUUGGCCCAAGUCCAGGUCUCCGGAAGGGUCAAGGUCUAGCUGCUGGUGUCAAGCCCAAGCCCCAGCUUUUCAAUCCUAGGAGAGGUUGGAACUUUGGCUCAGGGCUUGAACAACUCACAGUUCUCCAAGUUAGAGGGGCAGUCCUGAAACAGCAGCAGGUGGUGAAAUUGUGACUCCGAGAUUGUCCCGGACUGAAGUCUGGCAUUCCUUGACUUGCUAGCAUAGCUAUCAAACAAUCCAUGUCUGUCCCAUUUUAAAGAAUCCACACUUCACUUUGUUUCUUCUAGGCCCAGUUUAAAUGCCACCUCCUCCAGGAAGCUUUUCCAGGUAUUGCUUUCCCUCUCUCUGCUCCCCCACAUUAAGUCCCCUCUCUGGUGCACCCCCCUCACAUAUUCUCCGGUAGACUCCAGUGACUGUGGGUUCCUUGAGAGUCCAGUCAAUGCAUUGGGCCCAGCCUGGGAUUUAACGGCUCGUGUCAAAGGGAUGACUUAGAGACAGUGGGUGAAUUCUGCGUAUCCCAAUUGCAAGUGGAUUGCUUUUCUUUAUUUUGAAAGCGACCAGAGCUAGGAGGUGGACCUUAGGGAACGGACCUUCCUCGGGAUAGAUCCCACUUGCAGUGGGUCUGAGCCAUCAGCAUCGGCGCCGAGAGUGAAAAACCCAGCCCCAGCCCGGACCUCCCCGGGUAACCCCUGUCAACAACUUGAGCGCCAGAGUCAGAGCUGGGCAGGGCGGACUCUCAGGCACCCAAAUACUGGCUGCGUGAUCUCGAACCAGGUCAUCCGUCUCUGUAACCCUUAGUUUCUUCAUCUGAACAAUGGGUUAAUGACACCGUCCUUGAGGGUGUGUAGGGAAGAUUAGAUGAGAUCAAGAUGCACUGGAGAGCGAGACGCCUGACACACAGGCUGCGCUCGAUAAUUACUUAUGUACUGUCUCUUCCUGCCUCUUCAGCUUCCUCCCCUCCCUUCCAGCCUCCUCAAGACCUAGCCCGACGACGGCGACGGGCCAGGUGGCGUCGGAGGUCACCGCUUGCCUGAAUGCCCCGAGCCAAGAGCAACCGCGGUUCCGCGGGGAUCGCAAGGGCCUCAGGCCUCGCAGGACCGUGGGCGCUGGAGAGUGAGAUGUGGGGCUGCGGCCGCCACCCGGGAAUGUUGGGGGACAAGGGGCGCUGCUCCGGAUUUAGGCCGCCGGCCCUCCAGCCCUGCCUUGGCUGUUGGGCCGCCUCCUUCACCUUGGUUAAGUUCUCCUUUUGCUCCCCAUUCCCGCUCGGGGUGCCCGCCACCAAGGAGGCCGGUUCGCCGCAGCUUAGGCCAGGGGAGGUCACUGCUCUGGGGCGGGAUGGAUCCCAGCUUCCCCCAGCUCGUCUCCGAGGACUUUUCGCCGGAGGCGGGCAGGAAGGGGUUAAGAGCACCCCUCCCCCCCACCCCCCCCUCGGCCAAUCCAGAGCCCUGGGCUGCGGGCGAAGCCCGCCGCUUCCCUCCUGAGGUCUCAUUAGGGAAACCCUCACCGCUAUUUUCAACAUUUCCUCAAUCAAGUGCCUUUAAAUAGAGCUGCACAAACAAAUUGGCGGCAAAAGCGUAGAUCUUGUCACGAUUGAGACCAAUCCAAUAUUUCAGCCUUGUUUGCUUUGCAAUUACCGCUUGGCUUGUGGCUGCGGUGCCACCGGGGCAAAUCUGCAGCCGCCCGCUUUCUCCUCGGCACCCUCGGCGGGCGGAGGAAGCGACCCGCAGCGCCGCCGGAGGGAGGGGGGUGGCGCUGGAGGAGGUGGCGCGAGGGCGAGGGGCGGGCGGCGGAGCCCUCCCGAAGCCCGCGUGCGAAGGGCGCGGGCCCUGGGAAGGAGGCUGGACUUCUCAGGUUCCUGGCCGAGCCCCUGCGAGACAUACAGUAACAAUAAAACGUGCGGUACGCCUGCCGAAUCCAGUGUCGUGUCCUUAUCCGGCUCCUUCCCCCCCCCCCUCUUCCCUUGCCCCUCACUUCCGUCUCCACUGCAUCGUUCUUCGGUAUUUGUUAGCGGUUACCGGUUUCCCCUUCUUUCUUGCUGUUAAACUGCAAGCAUGAUUUGUUAUGUUUUCCAUAGCUGCUUAUUCUUGUUUGACUUCUUGUGCAAAGGCACUUUAAAUCUGCUGCAGGCAGAGCAAAGCUCCAAAUGGUUCGGAUGGGCUCCUGCAGGCGCCUGGCUGCCCCCCUGCCCUCCCC